CAGUCGCCGCGGGAAAACGGAGGGAGCUAGCGUUGUUCGGAAUUACUGGGCGUAAAGCGCGCGUAGGCGGUUCGCCAAGUUGGAUGUGAAAUCCCCGGGCUCAACCUGGGAACUGCAUCCAAAACUGGCGAGCUAGAGUAUGGUAGAGGGUGGUGGAAUUUCCUGUGUAGCGGUGAAAUGCGUAGAUAUAGGAAGGAACAUCAGUGGCGAAGGCGACCACCUGGACUGAUACUGACACUGAGGUGCGAAAGCGUGGGGAGCAAACAGGAUUAGAUACCCGGGUAGUCCCUGUCUCUUAUAA
rnacentral:rRNA from 1 species